GUGCCCCGCAGCCCACUGGGCACAGCUGUGGCCGGCAGCGACCUGGGGAAGGGAAACCGAAAUUAUCAUCUGAAAUGAGGCUUCGCGUGUCUGCUACGAGCAUAGCGCCGAAUACAGCUACGCUGCUGUUAUCGUUCUUAUUCAUGCGAUGUGUGGGCUGGAUGAAUUCUGCUGAUCUGAAUGGUUAUAUCCUUUUAUGAUGUCUGUAGUGCUGACACAGGAGUGCACAAAAGGGAUGGCUUCCUAAUUGUUUGACAAAACCGGAAGCUCACGGAAGAGGAUGUGGAAUGAUCAAAAAUAAUGCUCUCCAGGUCUGUUUCUCCACAUCUUCAUAAGAAUAAGAUUUUCCCAACAGUCGAUGGUCAGCCCAAUGAUCAGCUGAAAUAUUUGAGUGACUCAAGAGAGAUAUUGAUAGUGACAUGUACUAUAUUGCCAUUUUCAUGGUCUACUCACUGCUUCUAACAUAGGAGCUGAAAAUUGUCACUGGAAGACUAUUUCUGGACUUCAUCAACGGAAUGGUUAAGAUCCUCUCUUAAGAAGGUGGUCCUCUUACUUGGUCAAAGGCUAUAAAAUGUGGAUAUUUCUCUUCUAGCAAGCAAAACUCGUUCUUCAUUUCCAUGGAGCUGAAUGAACAAAGAUCUGUCCACUUCUGCUUGAAUCAUCUCACCAAACAUUUGAUUCACCAGAUGACUUCCCCCACAGAAGUAGCCCACUGUUUUAUCAAAACUCAGAAGCAGAGUAACAAAAAUCAGCAUUUGUUUUCCGGAAAAAAUGUCUUCUGUGCCAGCUCUUCAUACAGCUUUCUGCAUUCUGUUUUAAAAUGAAAAAUACUUUGUAAUCAGAUGCAAGUGGAAGCUGGUGUUUUUCACUGGUAUUUCCUUCUUAAUUUUAGGACAGUUAAAUACUUCUCUGUGUCAAAUUGGAAUGAAUUCCUAGCAGAUAAAGCGUCUGCAUGCAUUGCUGUGUCAGACUGACCUGAUAUAUAUGACAAGUUGCAGGAGGAAAACCAGAAUGUUUUCUGCAAGAAACUUACCAAACAACUAGGGGUAUCUCAUACAGGUAUUUUCUAGUCCAGGUCCCAGGCUUGACUUUGUAGAUAGGUGUCAACUCACAUAAAGCAGCUAAUGCACAAGAACAAAUACAGAAUCACCUUGUCUAUACUGUGUAUCCCAAGCUGUGAUCAAAAUGUAUAUUUGCAUGUGUGAACCUCUGUAAGUGCGGGAUAUGAAGAGCUUUCACCUGAAGAAGAAAUUACUCUGCAUCAUUUCAUUUUUAGCAAAGAAAAAGGAAGCUUUGAAGGCCUCUGGGGUAACAUCA